UGUGACUUCCUGUUGCUGUGUGAUUGGUGGAGGCUUCUUUCGGAGAGAGCUCCACCCAUCUGUACUUCGCUGCAAUUCAGCCAGUCGCUUCACAGCUAGCAUCAACUUCUUCUGGUGGCCUUCACACAUCGAAAUAAAACAGGUCCUCCCAGGUGAUGUCGGUGAUGAAGUCGAUGUUCUCAUAACCGUUCUGCACCAACACCUGAUGGUACUGACUCAGACCAAUAGCAGAAAGCCACUCACCCAGACUGGCCUGUAGGACCAAUCAGAAACAUGAACAACAAGGCUGGUUGCUCCACAGACUUUGACUGUUCCAGCAGAUGCUCCUUAGCUUUGGCAGAUUGAGACAACACUGUGGCCAAAAGCUCUUGUGCAUGGAGGAUGUGUGCACUGCCUGCGCUCUGACCGCUGCCUGAUGACCUCACACUGGUGACGCUGCCAGAACUGCCGACGCUGCUACGGUCUCCACCUAGCCUGCAGGAAGUUGGAGCCCAGUCCUGCAGUGAUCGGGCAGGGGGCUGGGUCAGACCCUGGGCAGUUCUCCAGUCCAUCACAGGGUCAAAUAUAAAGACAAAUCACUAUUCACAUCCUGCAUGUCUUUGUACAAAACUGUAAAAACCUUUCUGGAUGAAUUCAUCCAUCCAUCCAACCAUCUUCAGGGGGGACUGAAGAAUUGCCCGCCUGUCAUCAGGUAAAGUGAAGUAGAAAUUAACACCCGGACGACGGUGACGUCACUGGACUGAUGUGUUUGUUGAUCAGCCUGAACCUUCGACAUCUUUGUUUCACACACGUACACAGCCAGGUGAAGAGGAGACGUGCCGUUGGGGUCGCUGGUGUCUCCUUUUUUGGGCUCCAGCAGAGCAGCACACAUGUUACUGGAGAGUAACAGCUGGACCACCUACACACACACACACACACACACACACACACACACACACAAAUACACAAACAUAUAUGUAAUAUUUCUCUUGAUUAUAUUUGGCUCCAUCUUCAUCAGAACGACGGAAACUCUUACCCCGACUCUUCCGAACUCACAGGCCAGGUCCAGGGGGGUUUUCCCAGCGUUGUCCACGAUGCAGGGGUUGGACUGAUGCUGCAGCAACAUUUCAGACUGAAACGUAGAAACACACAGACACACAUCAGACGAUUCCACCGACUGCAGCUCUGAGCUGCGUGUCUUUGGCCUCUGAGAUGGAAAACAUCAGGUGGUAACUGACACACAGACCGACUGCUGCCAGCUGGCACCAUCCAACCUCCCACCGCCACACUGUCAGGCAACAGCGAAAACCACUGAACCAUGUUUUGACUUGGUCUUCAGACGCCUGGUCACUUUACACUGGUAACACUGGUAACACUGGUAACACUGGUAACACUGGUAACACUGUUCUUUUUCUCACAGAUUAUGGUCUGGAGCAGAAUUCUAAUCAUUUAUUCUGUUGUUUCCUCAGUUUUUAACUCUUCACCACAGCUAAAUCAGUAACAUAGGACUUGACUGUAGUGCAGGCGUUUCAACACUAGUGGUGCUGUUGGUCCACGAGGAGCCAGUAAGUGGUGACGGUGACACGGGUUAUAAAUGGCUGUGCGUCUGCCGCUCUGUUGUCCGCUGUCACUCACCACGUCGUAGUGGCCAUGCUGUGCUGACAGGUGGAGAGGAAUCUGUCCUUCAUCUGAUUGGCCGUUGACAGACGAACCUGAUUUCAGCAACAUCUUCAUAGGCUCCGCCCUCCCCUGCCAGGCUGCGUAAUGCAGAGGCCGCAUACCUGCACAAAGGAAAACAGCAAAGGAUCUUCGCAUAUAAAACAUUAGACGACUUGUUGCCACACCUAAGGUGCAGCCAUCCAAGAUCUUCCAAGGACAUCAAAGGAUGUGAACCAGUGAAGAUCUCACGAGGAUUGUCCUUCUCACCUUUCUGGUC